rnacentral:lncRNA from 1 species
CAAAUCCCAGCCAUAUCUCCAGCACACAAGAACUUCUAAACGCCUGAACUGCAGCGGCCAGGCGUUCCUCCAGAACCUCCUCCCCCAGGAGCUUGCUACAAGUGCCAAAAAUCUGGCCAUCGAGCCAAGGAAUGCGUGCCGCCCAGGAUUCCUCCUAAGCCAUGUCCCAUCUGUGCGGGAUCCCACUGGAAAUCGGACUGUUCAACUCACCUGGCAGCCACUCCCAGAGGCCCUGGAACUCUGGCCCAAGGCUCUCUGACUGACUCCUUCCAAGAUCUUCUCGGCUUAGUGGCUGAAGACUGACGCUGCCUGAUUGCCUCGGAAGCCCCCUAGACCAUCACAGAUGCCGAGCUUCAGAAAUCCUUCAUCUAAUCUGGCAAACACAUGUGGCAGGUUUUUCUCACCGCAUAAAAUAUGUUAUAGAGUAGUCCAUCUAUUUCUCUUCCAUGGAAGAGUUCAUCUGGUAGAUUGGACUACCACUUUUCCUUGUCCCGAGUUCU